ensembl:lncRNA
UAAGAGGCUUCACUAAAAGCCAAGAUAAAUAAGGAUUAACUAGGACUGUUAAUCAGGCAAAGUUAGAAGACGCGCACACACACAGACGCACACACACACACACACACACACACACACACACACACACACACACACACACACACACACACACACACACACACAAAUAUAAUCCACAUCUCUUGUUUUACAUCAAAAGUUCAAGCAACAAGGGUGGGGUUGCUUUCAAAGCCAAGGAUCCGGUAUAGCUUCGGUAUAACAGGAUCUGAGACGCGAAUCUGAAUCUGCCAUUCUACUGCUUUAUUUUUUUUAUUCAGUUAUAUUUUAUUAGAUAUGCUUUCAGAUCUAAUGCAAUAAUAACACUGCUACAUAAUUGAAUAGCAUUACCACAUUUAUUCUCUAUUACAUAAGUAAUGGACACAAGCUAAUAUAAUGGAACGACUAUACAAAGGAGAUGAAAGAAGGUUAACAGCGUUAAAAGCAUUAACACAAGAUUUUAAUGGUUAGAUGUUCCACACUGUACAUGUGAGUGGUUGUGUAUUAAUAUGUCUCUGUGCUGCAACAUUAUGCGGUUUUACUGCUACCGAUUGGAAUACUUUAGUGAUGAACUGUAAACCACUAAACCUAUUGUGCUGCGCAGUAUUACUUACUGUUGUGUAUUACAUUGUAAAGAAUUCCUUUCCUACUCCUGUGACUCCAAAAAGACAUUUAACCUACCAAUACUGAAGAACUACCUGCACACUGUAUUAAUCUUUGCAUGUAUGUAACAGUAUAUGAAAAACAGCGAAUUGUAUGCCUCGUACUCAAACUCCGCUUUUAGUGGCAGCUUCUGUGUAUGUAUUGUGAAACAUUUAUACAGUGAACUUGCGAUAUAUCACCUUGCUAGAUCAGUGUAAAUACAAAAACUCAAUAAUCCUCAUUUACUGGCAUCUUCUGUAGUCCGCUGUGGUAAAUAAAUGUCUACACACCAGGGAACUUUAAGUUCUAAAUCAAAAAUAAUGUUUUAAAUUAAACGCACAUCCCCUUUUAAGUUACACUAUGUGAGUUAUUAGAUAUUUUAUACUUUGGAUUAGUUGGUGAUUUCAGCUUGGCAGUUGUGGGGAAUGUGGGUCUUAAUGUAAAUCUGUGUUGGCUCAGUCCAGUGUGGAUUCCCCGUAUGACAGCUGGGAUAGACUCCAGUCCUCAUAUGUCCCAGAACUAGAUGAAUGGUUAAAAGAAUAGAUGGAUGGCUAUGGUUCUCAGCACCUCUGAUAAGCCUUUAUUUGGUAAGCUGUGAUUGAUUAAACUACAAAGGAUUAACAAACUCCAGGCGUACCUGUCCACUCAGUGGCAGGCUUUGAACUGUCAACAGGCAGCUGUUACAAUGUAAACAGCAGGCAUAUCUCUGUCAGUAUCGGAUUUAUCUCAUGGACAUAUUGGCACAUCCCAGUAAACUUAACAGAAUACACUGAACCACACGGGGACUAUUGAAAUAACAUGAUAUAAAUAUAAAUUUUCUUAAAAGUCCUGUCCAUGUAAAUGUUACUUUUUUGGGGAUUAAACAUGAACAUAAAAUAAUGGUUUCAUUUGAGAGAAAAUUGCAUGUGUCAAAGUGGAGUAUUUUCUGUUUGUUUAGUGUAAAUGUCUUCAUAUCGCUAUGAUACAGAAUAAAGGAAGUGAUUUCGGGUUGAGCUCUAGUACUCUAUUAAUCUAUUAAUCUCUAUUAAUCUAAUACUAUUUUCCUUCUGUCACUGGAGUCUCCCUUUCCAGCCAGCUUCCCCUGCUGCAACUGUGUCCUACAAAAACCCAUUCAUUCCCGUUUUCUCUCCCCCUUUAUAUAGAUGGGCUCAAAUCAUCACCAAUCAACCACUCCGUGCAGUAAUCUCCAAAUGGCUGACUGCUUGACUAGAGGGGAAUCUCCACUCCCACAUAGAUGUUAUGUUCACAGAAGGCCCGAGUCUAUAAAGGUCCAUAAAACAAUACCUGAACCAAC